GCACUUCAAAGGAAAUUAGACAUGUUGCUCUCAAUCAAGGAGAUGCUUCAUUUGCCGUAUACGUAACUGGAUUGGCAGGUGCAAUCGAUUAGACUGUUGGUUAGUAUUUUGCUAAUUUAAUUAAAUAUUAAUCAAAAUCAAUUUUUGAUAGAUCCAAUGAGCUGGUUUAAUCUGCCAAACAAAUAUGAAUAAUUUUUUCAUAAUAUAUUUCAUAUUUUAAAAUUAUUAUUUAUAUUUUUCUUUGUAUUUUUAGCCUAGAUCAGCUACUUCGAUCUGCGAUCAAAUUGAUUUUAAUUAGACCAAAUACUUCAGCGGUUUGGUGGCUAAUUUGAUCCUAGUAACAUUGCUUUGUAGCAGUACAAUAUAGCAAAAAAGAAGCAUGCCAUGCUGUACGAUAGCCCUUGCAUCUUCAUGCACGUCUAAGCAGUUUUAAAACAAGGCAUGAAUGAUUGGACAAUACAAUGUUAAAUUUGUGUUGCAUGCUACCAUGGGAGCAAUACAAUACAAUAUCCCCCUCAGGCAAAAGUGUAACCUAGGAGGAUUUUUUUUUUAAUCCAAAUUUUUUGGAUCAAUCUAAGUAUCGUCAGAUGAUUAUCUUCAUGGAAAAAACAAAUCAUAUUUUAAGUUCUUAAACACCUAGAUCUUGCCCUCCAAAAAUUGGACAGUUUGUCUUCAAUUUUGGGACCGAUUUUUUAAGAAUUUUUAUCAAAAUAGCUAUUAGAGAUAAAUUAUUUAACAUUUUUCAUAUUUACAACUAUUCCAACUCAAAACCAUGUCUUCUUCUAUGGGUAUUUUGAUAUGAGAUGUAGGUAAAAUGUUGAAUUGCUCCUCUCAUGGGUAAUUUGAUAAAUUUCUCUUUUCUUUUUAAACACAUAGAUAGUCCUAUUUGUUUAUUUAUUUUCCUUUGAGGUUGAUUAUUAGUUUCUAGAGGCUCCAUCCCCAAAACUCGGGGUUAAAAAAACGUUAAUAACAUGCGUUUUAUCUCACGUGAGCAAAUGCACAGUGUGCUCCCACAGGGGCUGCAAAUCUUUUCAGUACAAUGUUCAUGCUUAGGGCCAAAUAUAUUGAAGCGGAGCACCACUUCAUACAAGAGGGAGUGCAAGAGUGGAUGCAUCAACUUCUGCUUGUCUUACAGGAGUGAAAUUAUAAAUGUGGUUACUGAGGGUUUGCUUUUUCCCAAUUUUAUAGAGCUUAGAGGCUUACUUGGGUUGAUAGAGUUACUGCUGAAAAUAAACAAUGGUGAUCAUCAAUGACCGCUUCAUGAUACAGUGGGGAAGGUCACUAGUAUUGUUGUAUAGAGAAGCGAAUGAGAUUGCAGAUGGUCUCGCGAAGAGAGGUGCUUUGUUGGAUUCUUUGAUUGUGUCAUAUGUAAUGUUUUGUGAAAUGUCUUGCAUUUCUCAUUUAGCUAAUCAAAAGUAAGUAUUUUUUGUCUAAAAUAAAAAAGGUCACUA
rnacentral:lncRNA from 1 species